AGUUCCUCUGACUCCUGGUUAUAUUUGGAUUCCUCCGUGCAGUUACUGCGGAGCCUUAGGAACUGGCUCCUGGGGAUGUUCCUCAACCAGAUGAGAGUAUCCCUUUAAUUGAUGGAGGUGUAUAACAGGUGUAUGGAGGUGUAUAACAGGAAAGAUCGGAAAUGCAAAUAUUUAGCUGUGACAAUCCUUUGGCAAUGAAUUAAAGUUAUAGCCCAGUUAUGUGACUUAGGAUUUCUGCAUGGAACCUGCUGUGAAACUACAAUAUCAAAG